CCAUAGUAGUUCUUGUGUUUUUCCCUUCCCAAUGCAACUGUAAAAUAUGACUAAAGCCGACUGAGAAAUCCCCUUUUCAUGUGUAGAAAUAGCAGCUGAAAUUCUCGUAAGCAUCCACUCAGCUGUGAGAUAUAGUAAAUAAUGAAGAUAGAAUAGUAAUCAUAAUCUCAUAAGCAGAGUAUUCAGUAUCAACAAUACCCUCUUCAUGACAGAGAGGAACAAAAUUAAAACAACACAACCAGAUCCAUCCAGAGACAAAAGAAUCAAAAAAAACAAAAGAAAGAAACUGAUGCAAAGUAGUCGCGAACAAAAAGUCUGUCUGUCUGUCUCCCUGAUCUCUCUCUCUCUCUCUCUCUAAAGUAACAGCCACAAGAAAGAUGCACAUCCAAGUCCCAUCAUCCCAACCAUCGUCUUCUCUACUCCACUCUGCAACAAAUUAACCACCCGUCAGCACAUUCGAUAUUACAUUAUUACCAUUACCAGAUGUUGGGCUGUGCCAGCCCAACGGGCUCAUAUUCGGAAUGUUUGUUCAAAGCCCACUGAUGGCAUAUGCAACUUUAUCCAACGUUUCACCACUCAAUUUUUUUUUCUUCUCAAAUUUUCCGCAGAUCUAACAAAAUUUAAUUGUUCUGAUUAGCCCUUUAAUUUAAUAAUAAAAUAAAUAAAGUAGUAACACUCCUUGGAUUCUACGUCUCUUACUCACUGUAUCUCAAAACCUAAAGGAAUUUUUUAAUGUAAAAACGUGACAGCUCUACCUAGUGUGUCACGUGCAGCUUACAGAAAUGAAAAGCCACUUUCCGAUUUUCCUUAGUCCCCUAAACCAUCUGACAUCCACGCGCUGGAUUCAUCUAUUACGACAACACGCGCCGCUUUAGAAUGAGAUCCAAGAUCAGGUCAAACUUAUGAUACAAGAUCUGUUUUACUGUUUGUUCUCUAAUUAGGACCGACCAAACUAAUUAACAUUCACAUUUCCUUACUCUAAUUAGGUCUUUAAUCUCAAUUACUAAUGGUAAAUAGUAAGGAUAAAGAAAACGACGACGUACCAUAUCAGAACCGGUGCCGGCUGGUCCAGGAGCAGAAGCGCCCAAGCUAGGGGAAGGAGCUCCGGUGGGAGGAGCGGGCGGGCUUGAUCCCAGAGGCGAAGGAGCGGAAGCCGGAGACUUCACCUUCUUGGACGGAGCCGGAGCUGGGACCGAAGCAGGUGGAGAUGCCAGGGGAGCUGGUGGCGGGGUUGCCGGAGGAGGAGUGGCUGGCGGUGGGGUUGCCGGAGGAGGAGUUGCAGGUGGUGGAGUGGCGACCGGAGGUGGAGUUGAUGGUGGAGGGGAAGCAGGUGGGGGAGUAGCAGCAACCGGCGGAGGUGUGCUGACUGGAGGAGGAGUUGAUGGAGGUGGGGCGGAGACUGGAGGAGGAGAGGCCGCCGGAGGAGGGGAGGAAGUCGGGGGAGGAGUGGUGCUCACCGGAGGAGCGGCGGUCGGGGUGGUGGGAGUGGGUGGAGCCGGGGUGGCGGUAGGAGAAGCAGCCGGAGAUUGAGCGCCGACGCCGGCGAUGACAAUGCAGAUGAGAGAGAGGACGACCAAAGCUGAUGGACUCUUCAUCUUGCGCCGAUCUAGUUUCCUCUCUCUUCUUUCUUUUCUUCUCGUAAAACUACAAACAGAGAAAGAUAGAGAGAGAGAGAGAGAGAGAGAGAGGAGUGAGGGGGGAAAGAGAGUGAGAAAUCAAACGGGAAUAAAUAGUGGUGGAUAAAUUAAGAA
rnacentral:lncRNA from 1 species